rnacentral:tRNA from 1 species
GUUCCAGUGGUAUAAGGCGAACAUCGCUGCCCGGAAAGCAGAAAGUGCGGGUUCGAGUCCCGCCUGGCG